CCGAGUUUACAACUCCCAAACCCAAUGUGAACGUUACCAAACUGUUGCCUCGGCGGGAUCUCUGCCCCGGGUGCGUCGCAGCCCCGGACCAAGGCGCCCGCCGGAGGACCAACCAAAACUCUUAUUGUAUACCCCCCCGCGGGUUUUUUUACUAUCUGAGCCAUCUCGGCGCCCCUCGUGGGCGUUUUCGAAAAUAAUCA
rnacentral:misc_RNA from 1 species